CCACCUCCUGCUAAGGUUCCUCGCUCACUUUGCAACUACUCCUAGCUCUUAAGUUUUACCUCCCUCUGGUAAGUCAUGCUUAGGGACCCUAGAGUUCCCUCUGAACUUGGAUGCCUUAGGGUUGGUAAUUCUAUACACUGCACCACUCUGUUACAGCAUUCAAUCUUUAGAGUGUAAGCAUUUCCUGGGCUUCUGAAGCUUCUUGGAACUUUGAAACACUCUAAGAGAAGGCCUUGGAAUCUGGAAUCCGGAUUAGGUGAAACACAUGUAUUGGAUAUCACGAUUGCAUUAGGAAGUUUGGAUCUAGCUGUGGGCUAUGAUGUAUUUUAUUUUUUUCUUCUGCUUUGUAAUAAUAACUUUGUACAAAACUUCGGGAAUAUAGUAGUAAGGGUAUGGGAGGGGUUUACUUUUUAGUUGUUUGUAUGCUAAUAGGUAGAGAUCAUGCCAAUAGGACUUUUACUACUUCAAUUCACCUAUAUAUCAUGCCUAUAGGAAUUUUACUACUUUAA
rnacentral:lncRNA from 1 species